CCAGUCCUUGCUGCUGAAAAAGAUCUCCACAGCAUGAUGCUGCUACCACCAUGCUUCAUUGUUGGGAUGAUAUUGGGCAGGGGUGAAGCUGGGAACAUGGCCUUCAAAAGGCAAACAUAAUGGAAAGCUGGAACAGAUCCUUCUCUGAGGCAGCAUCCAACUGUGGAUUUUUUGAUCUUGUAUGUAUUCAGUCUUAUAUAACUUAUAUAUAGAGUUGACCCUACUUCCUGAUUUUUUAAUGAUUACUUGGCUAUUAAUUAGGAUUUAAUAAAUAGAAUUUUAAAAA